UUUUAAAUUUCUAACAUUUUCGAUAGAUUCCACUCUCUCCCUUCGUUUUUCCAUCCAGAACUUCCACCGAUAUCUCCGCUUCCCAGAUAGUAUUUGAAUUGCUUCUUCCGUCGCUGUUACCAAAAGUCGAAAAGCAUAUUUCCCUCCGCAAAUUAGGCGAGAAGGAUCUCUUAUUCUAUAAAGUCAAAAUGAUCUUGGAUGGUUGGUCAAGAAUUGUUGCCAAACUGUUGAGUUAGACUUCUAACAAAACAACUCAGGUUUUUCUAGCAGAAGAAAAUGCAUUGAGCAUAAGAGAGGACAGGCAUAUGUUAUGCAUCAGAGCACGUGCCUCUGCAGGCUACAACGAGGAGCGGGUGUAAUUGAGAAUGAAAGAAGAUCCUUUGUAAGGAAACACUGGUUGGGUGACCAUGCCGUUCCCUUAUGAGCCGGAUUGCAGCAUAAAAACUACCCUGAGCCUCUGGACGAGCGUGCGUGCCAGGCCAGAUGACUAAUCCCGUUACAGUGUGUGGUAUCAAAGCAAACUGGGGAUCUGAGGGAAAUGUAAGGUGUUGUCUGCAACCAAGAACCAUUAGUUCAGAUGCCUAAUUUUGUUAUGUUGCGACUUCCUCAACAAAUUGGGAUUCAGUUGUAUUCUCACCUCGACGAUUUUUAUUUCAACAUGUCUUAGUAAUUA